UGAAGAGAGGAGCAAGGUAGAGCACUAUACGGUGAAACUGCGAAUGGCUCAUUAAAUCAGUUAUCGUUUAUUUGAUAGUACCUUACUACAUGGAUAACCGUGGUAAUUCUAGAGCUAAUACAUGCUAAAAACCCCGACUCACGAAGGGGUGUAUUUAUUAGAUUAAAAACCAAUGCCCUUCGGGGCUCUAUGGUGAAUCAUAAUAACUUAACGAAUCGCAUGGCCUUGCGCCGGCGAUGGUUCAUUCAAAUUUCUGCCCUAUCAACUUUCGAUUGUAGGAUAGAGGCCUACAAUGGUAUCAACGGGUAACGGGGAAUUAGGGUUCGAUUCCGGAGAGGGAGCCUGAGAAACGGCUACCACAUCCAAGGAAGGCAGCAGGCGCGCAAAUUACCCAAUCCCGACACGGGGAGGUAGUGACAAUAAAUACUGAUACAGGGCUCUUUUGGGUCUUGUAAUUGGAAUGAGUACAAUCUAAAUCCCUUAACGAGGAACAAUUGGAGGGCAAGUCUGGUGCCAGCAGCCGCGGUAAUUCCAGCUCCAAUAGCGUAUAUUAAAGUUGUUGCAGUUAAAAAGCUCGUAGUUGAACCUUGGGCCUGGCUGGCCGGUCCGCCUCACCGCGUGCACUGGUUCGGCCGGGCCUUUCCUUCUGGGGAACCGCAUGCCCUUAACUGGGCGUGUGUGGGAUCCAGGACUUUUACUUUGAAAAAAUUAGAGUGUUCAAAGCAGGCCUUCGCUCGAAUACAUUAGCAUGGAAUAAUAGAAUAGGACGUUGGUUCUAUUUUGUUGGUUUCUAGAACCGCGUAAUGAUUAAUAGGGAUAGUCGGGGCCAUCCGUAUUCAAUUGUCAGAGGUGAAAUUCUUGGAUUUAUUGAAGACGAACUACUGCGAAAGCAUUUGGCAAGGAUGUUUUCAUUAAUCAGUGAACGAAAGUUAGGGGAUCGAAGACGAUCAGAUACCGUCGUAGUCUUAACCAUAAACUAUGCCGACUAGGGAUCGGACGGUGUUAUUAUUUUGACCCGUUCGGCACCUUACGAGAAAUCAAAGUCUUGGGUCUGUGAUGAGAAUGCAGUCACACGG
rnacentral:rRNA from 1 species